rnacentral:rRNA from 1 species
CGUUAGCGGCGGACGGGUGAGUAACACGUGGGUAACCUACCUAUAAGACUGGGAUAACUCCGGGAAACCGGGGCUAAUACCGGAUAACACAUGAAACCGCAUGGUUUCAUGAUGAAAGACGGUUUUGCUGUCACUUAUAGAUGGACCCGCGGCGUAUUAGCUAGUUGGUAAGGUAACGGCUUACCAAGGCAACGAUACGUAGCCGACCUGAGAGGGGUGAUCGGCCACACUGGAACUGAGACACGGUCCAGACUCCUACGGGAGGCAGCAGCA